rnacentral:rRNA from 1 species
AUGAGCGGCGGCGGCGCCGGCGACACGCUGGACAAGCUGGUGGUGUUCCUGGCGAAGCGCGACGGCGUCGACAAGCUGGUGAAGACGUACCAGUACGUGGCGAAGCUGGCGCACUGGGCGGCGGAGACGUCGCACCCGGGGCUGGCGGGGCGCGCCAAGAGCUGGGAGACGGCGGCCGGGCUGAGCCGCAAGGUGUUCCGGUCGGGCCGGUCACUGACGGGCUUCAACGCGCUGCGGCGGUCCCCGGGGGAGUUCGGCGCGCUGGCCGUGCUGGCCAACGCCGGCGAGAUGGUCUACUUCUUCUUCGACCACUUCACGUGGCUGUCGCGCGUGGGCGUGCUGGAGCCCUGGCUGGCGCGCCGCGCGAGCUUCGUGUCGGCGUUCGGCGAGUGCGUCGGCUACGUCUUCUUCAUCGCCAUGGACUUCAUCAUGAUCAGGCGCGGGAUCAGGCGGGAGAGGGCGCUGCUGCGCGGCGGCGAGGGGAAGGAGGAGGAGAGGGAGGGCGAGGUGCGGAGGAUCCGGGCGGACCGGGUGAUGCGGCUCAUGGGGACGGCGGCCAACCUGGCGGACCUGGUCAUCGCCGUCGCGGACAUCGAGCCCAACCCGUUCUGCAACCACGCCGUCACGCUGGGGAUCAGCGGCCUCGUCUCCGCCUGGGCUGGGUGGUAUAGGAACUGGCCGUCGUGA